rnacentral:ncRNA from 1 species
UGAAAGGCUUUGAACAGGAAUAGUAGGCAUUCAAGCGGGGCUCAGAGAGCCGGGUUAGGUGUGAGCCGGUGCCAGCGCGAAUGCUGAAUGGGCCUGGGAGCUGCGAACCGAAAGCUUCCUGCAAGUAGGCUUCGCCGGAGUCUCCGCCGUUACAAGGAGAGAGGUAUCGGAGCUUGUGUCUCCCGUACCUCCUGAGUGAGGCCUUAGGCCUAAUUGGGGUGGCACCGCGGAAGCCCUCCGUCCCCAGC